rnacentral:rRNA from 1 species
GCUUAGCAUGAAGUGAAGCACAUACACCUGCUGAAUUUAAGCAUAUAAGUAAGUGGUGGAAAUUAAACCAAAUGGGAUAUCUUUAGUAAUUGCGAAUGAACAAGGAUAUGCUUAGCUUGACAAAUGGAGCUAUUGGCUUUGAAUUGUAUUGUGGAAAUGUAUUACCAACAGAGGUGCAGGUGCCAGCCUAUUGAAAUAAAGCGUCAAUGAGGGUGAGAAUCCUGUUUGUCAUGUGCAGCCCUUUGUGCACGGUGUAUAUUUGCUGAGUCACACUCCUUGGCAUUGGAAUGCAAAGUGGGUGGUAAGUUUCAUGUAAAGGUAAACAUGCAAUUGAGACUGAUAGCACACAAGUACCAUGAGGGAAAUAUGAAAAGGACUUUGAAAAGAGAAUUAAAUGAGUUUGUAUUUGCUGAACACAAAGUAAACAGACUUGAUUUGCUUGGUGGGAGUGUUGCACUUGCUUGACAAGAGCUUUGGGCUGUGGGUGUAAUGAUUCUUUCUUUGCAUGCCAGUUUCUAUUUGUACAUCUGAUUACCUUUGCACAUGAAUGAUAAGUCUCCUGUGGGGGGUGGAUUGCAUGUGCAUGUAAUGAUUUGUGUUUUGAUACAUGUGUCUGGUGUAUGUGUGUGUGUUCCUGUGCUUGGGGAUGCUUCCUUCCUUGGACUUACAAGCCCUGACACACACAUGCUGGCAAAAUGCUUCUGCUUGACCCGUCUUGAAACACGGACCAAGGAGUCUAACAGAUGUGCAAAGUUUGAAGGUGGUAUACCUUUGUGUGCAAUGAAAGUGUCAGCUGGGAUAUGUGCACCAGCACCCAAUUAAUUAGCGGACAGAGGUUUGAGUUGGAGCAUAUCUAUUAGGACCCGAAAGAUGGUGAACUAUGCCUGAACAGAAUGAAUUCAGAGGAAACUCUGAUGGGGGUUCGUAUCGAUACUGACGUGCAAAUCGUUCGU